rnacentral:lncRNA from 1 species
CACCACCACCACCACCAUCUCCCUCCUCCCCCCCCCCACUUCACCAUAACCACCACAGCCACAACCAUCCCUGUCACAACCACCACCGCCGCCAUCUUCACCAUUUUAUACUUUAUUCCAUUCACAAAGUUAUGGUAGCCAGGUGAUGGCAAGCUGGCAGCCAAUCGGACCUCUUAUUCUCUAGAAAGUUGCCUCCCUUUCAGCGGCAACCCCACCCCCAAUUUCCACCGACUUUUCAGUCAUCAAUGGCUGUUGUGGCGUUGACUUUAGUCUCCUUUCUUCUCGGGCAAUAGUUGAAGUCUCAAAUGUUAUAGCAAGCAGGUAUUUACAAUUCUGCCGUAAUUGAUUUCAGUUCCAACUCGCUCAGCAUAAUAUUGCGUAUCGACAAAGCUGUUUGUUUAAUUGAAUUGGUUUCUUGCGUGGAGGGUGAUGGUGGAGGGUGGAGGAGGGUGAUGGUGGGUGGAGGUUGAAGAUGAAGUGUGGUGGAAGAUUCGCGGAUAGUCCCUAUGGUUUGGCCUUUUAAGGAAAGGGUAUUUUUGUCAUUUCACACCCUCUUAACAGAGAAAACAAACUGAAGUUAGACCCAGGGACUAUCCGGGAACAAAAAAUGAAAACUUGGGGACUAUUCAGGUAAUUUUAGAAAGUUGGGGACUAUAGGUGAAAAAAGACGAAACCACAGGGACUAUCCGGGCAUUUUUCUCCUUAAAUUUUUUUAGUUUUAUCUAAAAUACCUAGCUAUAUAGUUUUAUCUAAAAUACCUAGCUAUAUAGUUUUAUGUAAAUUAAAUAUCUUUCUAAAAUAGUAAAAUGUCAAUGAAUAAAAAAAUGAGUUAAAAAAAGGCUUAAAUUUUUUUACAUGAAAGAUAUUUAUUAUUAUCAAUCAUUUCAAUCCAAAAUUGAAAAUGAGUAAGGUUUACAUUAUUUAAAACGAGUAAGAAAUUUAAUUUACAUAAAACUAUAUAGCUAGUAGAUUUUAUUUAAAAAAUCUAUUUAAAAAAAUACUGGUGUAACAAGUAGAUUUUAUGUUAAAUAAGAAAUUUUAUAAAAAUAUGAAAAAAGAAUAGAGUUUAUGUUAAUUAAGAGAUAUAAUAAAAAGAUGAAAAUAAAAAAAUAAAUAGAUUUUGAAAAAUUGAUUUAAACUUAAAUAAAAUUAGGUGUUAGUACCCAGAUGUGUUACAUUGAUAAACUUAAAGAAAUGCAAGGGUAUUUUAGUCGUUAAUUAACUAAUUUUGAUGUUAGUACCCAAAGGUGUUACAAAAUUGAAACCAUAGAACCUAAACUUGUUAAAAAAAAGUUAGUACCCAAAGGCGAAAUUAGGUAUAAACCACAAGACCCAUUUGUGUAAUUAACUCAUACUUAAAUGUGUGGGAAAAUUAAUUAAUUAGGGUUUCAAAAUUAAUUAUGUGGGUGAAACCGAAAAUCGUACCAAACCGAAUUCAGUAAUGUUUAAAACUGAAUUGCUUAUUCGAUUUAGGUUUCAAACAAAAUCGGAAACUGAAUUGAUUAUUAGGUUCGGUUUCGGUUUAAUUGGUUUCAAACCGAAUAAUAAACACUCCUAGUGCGAGGGGCACCUUGAGGUAAGUGAACCGGAUUCAUCGGGUACACCGCCAUAAUUAUUGUGGGUUGUGAUUCGGGAUCAAGUUUUUGGCUCGUGAAUCGUAGAGAAAACGAAGAAGAGUGUUCGAAUAAGGUUAGAAAUUGGGUGCAGGUUCAUCGGGUGAAUCAAGAACACCGUCGUAAUUAAACCGGGUUCAUUCAGGUACUUUUGGUUACCAUGAGGUAGUUGGUUGAUUGAUUUGGGUUCAUCGAGUUUUAAAGUUGACCAAUUAACCAUAUUAUAUAUUUUUCUUGGGUUAAAAAUUUAUUAUAUCAAAAUAUAAUAUGUUUUUACUUUUUCUUUUUACUUGCCUUUUUACUAGUUAAUUACAAACUUUUAUGUAUAUGGGUGUUAAAUGCUUCUUUGUAGUAGGUUGGCAAGCUAAACUCGAUAAAAAAUAAAAAAUUAUGUCAGACAUGUGAACCACGGGUGUAAUGUAUUUUACCCUAUAACUUAAUAAUUAAUUAAUUUAUUUGCAUAUUAAUAAUCUAAAACUACAUAACUUGUAAAAAAAAAAUAUAAAUACAAGGGUGAGAGUUCGCUACAAAGUCAAUUUUUCCUACAAAGUGUAAAAAGUCUAAAACACCAUAAUGUUCACCAUAAAACAUACUCAAAACCCACAAAUAACAAAGUGAAAAUUACUAAAACGCCAUAUUUGUGCAUUUUGUGUUGUGUUUUGGAUGAUAAGGCUUUGAUUAUCAAAUGACUAACAUCAAUGUUUUUUAUGUUGAUUAUCAUGUUGUGUUUUAUAUUCAUAGUUCUACGAUGGUAUGUUUGAAGUUUUAAUGGAUUGUUAGGGUUUGAAUAUUGUGUUUUAGAGAUCUUCACUUUGUAAUUGUGGGUUUGGAGUGUGUUUUAUGGCUGGAAUUGUGGUGUUUUAUGACUUUGUACACUUUGUAGGAAAAAUGGACUUUGUAGCCAAACCCCACCCUAAAUACAAAUUCGUAUGAAGUAAUUACGUU